ACAAAGGCUCUUUUCAGAGCCACCCACCAGUUUCACAACGGGAGCU
rfam:Nipponia nippon contig29135, whole genome shotgun sequence.